AGGACAGCGCCGCUGCCACCGCUCGGCCCUGCCCGCCGCCUGCGCCGCGCAGCCCUCACGCGCGCCUGGAUGGCGCUUUCCACCCCGGACCGGUUUAGAAUGUAAUAAUUCAAGAAUUUUAUCAUCAAGUGGAAUAGCUUAACAACUGUCUAUGUGCUUUCCAUGAUAUGUUCUCUACAGUGGCAUCCGGAGAUGCUGUUCCUUGACAGCACCUGACACUGUGAGACCUACAAGGCCCAAGGUAAGCCUUACUCUGCUUUCUUCUAGUCCUUUCCUUGUUGGAGCCCCUGAGGUUAUAAAAUCUAUCAAAAGUGAUUUGGAACUUACUAAUUCUUGAUCCUGCUUCAAGAAAGAAGGGAGCUAGAGCUCCUGCUGCUAUUUUGCGGGAGCUGGAGGUAGCAGUGGGCCGACUGUUAGCAUGUCAUUUCAG
rnacentral:lncRNA from 1 species